GACGGAAGGUGCAAGCGUUGCUCGGAUUUACUGGGCGUAAAGGGCGCGUAGGCGGCCACCGCAAGUCGACUGUGAAAUCUCCGGGCUUAACCCGGAAAGGUCAGCCGAUACUGCGGGGCUAGAGUGCAGAAGGGGCAACUGGAAUUCUCGGUGUAGCGGUGAAAUGCGUAGAUAUCGAGAGGAACACCUGCGGCGAAGGCGGGUUGCUGGGCUGACACUGACGCUGACAGCGCGAAAGCUAGGGGAGCGAACGGG
rnacentral:rRNA from 1 species